rnacentral:rRNA from 1 species
AACGAACGCUGGCGGUGUGCUUAACACAUGCAAGUCGAACGGGAACGUUCUCUUCGGAGAGCUAGUAAAGUGGCGCAAGGGUGAGUAACACGUGAAUAAUCUGCCCUCGAGACUGGGAUAACUUGGCGAAAGCUAGGCUAAUACCGGAUAAGACCACGCUUCAUUAAGAAAUGUGGAAAAAAGGAGUCUCAACCUUCACUCGAGGAUGAGUUCGCGGACCAUUAGCUUGUUGGUGAGAUAAAAGCUCACCAAGGCUACGAUGGAUAGCCGGCCUGAGAGGGCGAUCGGCCACACUGGAACUGAGACACGGUCCAGACUCCUACGGGAGGCAGCAGUGGGGAAUAUUGCGCAAUGGGCGAAAGCCUGACGCAGCAACACCGUGUGAGCGAUG